AACGGAAUAUAAACAGUUCAAAGAAUGGUGCAAGGCAAAUUCAAAAGGAAAAGGGAAGGUAGCAGCAGGAACUUCAGAGUAUAGUGCAGGACCGUAAAUUGGUCAACAAAUUUCAGCUUGGGAAGAAAAUUGGAAAUUUGUUUUUCUCUUCUCUUCGUUAUUGUUCUAAAGACAUUUCUCAUAGUAGUUCUACUGAAUUUUCAUCUCCUGUUAUUGAUUGUAUUAGAAUGCAUAAUAGACUUGGUCAUCCAUCUCCUAAAGUCAUGAAUAAUGUCUACCCUGGUUUGGGAAAUAAGAUACACCAUUGUGAAGUUUGUUCCAUUUCAAAAAUGUCAAGAUUGUCUUUUCCUGAUAGUUGUUCUGUUUCAAAAAAAUGUUUUGAACUUAUUCAUGUUGACCUUUGGGGACCUUAUAAGGAACCUUCAAUAAUUCAAGUUUCUUAUAUGUUAACCAUAGUAGAUGAUUAUAGUAGAUGCACUUGGAUUUUUCUUCUCAAAGAUAAAACAUGUGUAUU